rnacentral:rRNA from 1 species
UACGUAGGGUGCAAGCGUUAAUCGGAAUUACUGGGCGUAAAGCGUGCGCAGGCGGUGAUGUAAGACAGAUGUGAAAUCCCCGGGCUCAACCUGGGAACUGCAUUUGUGACUGCAUCGCUGGAGUACGGCAGAGGGGGAUGGAAUUCCGCGUGUAGCAGUGAAAUGCGUAGAUAUGCGGAGGAACACCGAUGGCGAGGGCAAUCCCCUGGGCCUGUACUGACGCUCAUGCACGAAAGCGUGGGGAGCAAACAGG